rnacentral:rRNA from 1 species
UACGUAGGUGGCAAGCGAUACUCGGAAUCACUAGGCGUAAAGCGCAGGUAGGCGGCUUGAUAAGUCUUUUGUGAAAGCUCCUGGCUUAACUGGGAGAGGUCAAAGGAAACUGUCAGGCUAGAGUUUGGUAGGGGAUACUGGAAUUCCUGGUGUAGCGGUGAAAUGCGUAGAUAUCAGGAGGAAUACCGAUGGCGAAGGCAGGUCUCUGGGCUGACACUGACGCUCAUGCACGAAAGCGUGGGGAGCAAACAGG